GAUCCUGGCUCAGAACGAACGCUGGCGGCAUGGAUUAGGCAUGCAAGUCGAACGAAGCAGCAAUGCCUAGUGGCGCAAGGGUGAGGAACACGUGAGUGACCUACCCGCAAGUUUGGAACAGCUCCUGGAAACGGGAAUUAAUACCGGAUGUGAUCGAUGAACUGCAUGGUUUAUUGAUUAAAGCAGCAAUGCGCUUGCGGAUGGGCUCGCGUCCCAUUAGCUAGUUGGUGAGGUAACGGCCCACCAAGGCCAUGAUGGGUAGCUGGUCUGAGAGGACGACCAGCCACACUGGGACUGAGAACUGCCCAGACUCCUACGGGAGGCUGCAGUCGAGAAUUUUGGGCAAUGGACGAAAGUCUGACCCAAGCAAUGCCGCGUGCGGGAUGAAGGUCUUCGGAUUGUAAACCGCUGUUUGGAGGGACGAAAAUUGACGGUACUUCCAGAGGAAGCCACGGCUAACUACGUGCCAGCAGCUGC
rnacentral:rRNA from 1 species